rnacentral:rRNA from 1 species
CGGGGGGGGCAAGCGUUGUUCGGAAGUUACUGGGCGUAAAGGGCUCGUAGGCGGCCAACUAAGUCCGACGUGAAAUCCCAAGGCUUAACCUUGGAACUGCGUCGGAUACUGGAUGGCUUGAAUUCGGGAGAGGGAUGCAGAAUUCCAGGUGUAGCGGUGAAAUGCGUAGAUAUCUGGAGGAAUACCGGUGGCGAAGGCGGCAUCCUGGACCGACAUUGACGCUGAGGAGCGAAAGCUAGGGGAGCAAACGGGAUUAGAUACCCCGGUAGUCCUAGCCCUAAACGAUGAAUGUUUGGUGUGGCGGGUAUCGAUCCCUGCCGUGCCGAAGCUAACGCAUUAAACAUUCCGCCUGGGGAGUACGGUCGCAAGGCUG